UUCUCCGCGCGAGGGUGCACCAAUGUAACUUUUCAUUCUUUUAGGUUUGUUUAGUACAUAUACACAUGGAGAACCAAAGAUUGGGACCCUUUGGCACAUAUACCAGCAGCUAGAGCCAUUAUCACACGAUCGACGGUGUGCCUGGUCUACUGGUUAGGGUUAGGUGUAGGGUUAGGGCUAGGGUUUAGGGGCUAGGGCUAGGGUUUAGGUUAAAGGGUAAGUAUUUAUGGUUAGGUUUAGGUUUAGGGUUUAGGGUUAGGGUUAGGGUUUAUGAUGCAUGGUUCUGCAGCUCCGGCGUCGUGGUUUAGGGAUUUAGAGGGGUUUAGGGCUCGAAGCCUCCCCAGUUUAGG